GAAAUGCGAUAAGUAGUGUGAAUUGCAGAAUUCAGUGAAUCAUCGAAUCUUUGAACGCACAUUGCGCCCCUUGGUAUUCCAUGGGGCAUGCCUGUUCGAGCGUCAUUUGUACCCUCAAGCUCUGCUUGGUGUUGGGUGUUUGUCCCCGUCUCCGCGCGUGGACUCGCCCCAAAGUGAUUGGCAGCCGGCGUACUGGUCCCGGAGCGCAGCACAUGUCGCGCAAACGAGUGCCUUGGUACGGCAGCGUCCAUAAGCCCCUCUCUCACGCUCUUGACCUCGGAUCAGGUAGGGAUACCCGCUGAACUUAAGC
rnacentral:misc_RNA from 1 species